GACGAACGCUGGCGGCGUGCUUAACACAUGCAAGUCGAACGGAAAGGCCCUGCUUUUGUGGGGUGCUCGAGUGGCGAACGGGUGAGUAACACGUGAGUAACCUGCCCUUGACUUUGGGAUAACUUCAGGAAACUGGGGCUAAUACCGGAUAGGAGCUCCUGCUGCAUGGUGGGGGUUGGAAAAUUUCGGCGGUUGGGGAUGGACUCGCGGCUUAUCAGCUUGUUGGUGGGGUAGUGGCUUACCAAGGCUUUGACGGGUAGCCGGCCUGAGAGGGUGACCGGCCACAAUGGGACUGAGGUACGGACCAGACUCCUACGGGAGGCAGCAGUGGGGAAUAUUGCACAAUGGGCGGAAGCCUGAUGCAGCAACGCCGCGUGCGGGAUGACGGCCUUCGGGUUGUAAACCGCUUUCGCCUGUGACGAAGCGUGAGUGACGGUAAUGGGUAAAGAAGCACCGGCUAACUACGUG
rnacentral:rRNA from 1 species